rnacentral:tRNA from 1 species
AGCAGCGUGGCUCAGUGGAAAGAGCAUGGGCUUGGGAGUCAGAGGUCAUGGGUUUGAAUCCCGGCUCUGCCA